CUUUAGAAUAAGGAAUUGAAUGGAGGUCAAAAGCUUAGGAAGCUUUUUUAAAAUACAGAUGGAUGCGAAAACUGUAAACCACUAUCCCUCUAUUGAAAUUACGAAAGUAUAUUUUAUGGUUGUGGAAGAUUCUUUAGUUCAGAAGUUUCAACAAAAAAAUGAGUUUCAUACAGUGCAUCUUCAUAAAAGAGAUAAAAUUAUAAUAUUCUUUAUAUUUUAUAAUAGCACAAUUAAACAGCAUUAAAAAUACAUUUUAUGA
rnacentral:lncRNA from 1 species